CUCAUCGUUCUGUCAAAGAGUCUGACAACACCUCAAAAACUAUUAUUGUCUGAAAUACAACACUUGGGUUUCUCUUCUCUCUUGCUCCUGCUCUAGAUUAAAGGUGUUUCAUCAUGGAGGUCCGGCUCUUCUGAGGAUUCUAUUUGGAAUUCCAGCAACAGCGGAAGAGCUGCAUAUGACGAGCUGGGACAGAUUUUCCGCAGCAGGAGGUGUGCAGGGGAAACGGAUCAAGGAUGUCCUGGCGCUCCAUGAUCCGUGUGACAUCACAACCGGGAGGGAGUGCACCCUGAGGAGCCUCGUGGACCUCCAUGAGACCCCGACUCUUCCUUCAAGGAGCAUCGGGUCAGCCAUGACGGUAGCCAGGAUGAUUGACAGGUUUCACAGCCACACAGAGGGCAUGAGACCUUCACUGACCUCCUGAACUCAGGAAUUGCCUUUUGUUUUUGUUCUUUGUUGUGUGUGUCCUAUCUGUAUUGCCUGUACUGUACACACACAAAAAUCAAUAAAUAUAAUGUUACAUUAUUUAAAAAAGAAAGAAAUAAGUUAUAAUUGUCAAUAGUUGUUUAAGAAAUGUAAUAACAAUAAAUAACCACAAAGAAAUAAGAAUAACGUGUUUUUGUUUUGUGUUAAAAAUAAUCUAAGAAAACAUUAAUAUGUGGAGUACUGCCUAAUAGUCUUAUAAUUGACCUUUUUAUGACAAUUGCUCAUAUACUGUAAGCCUAAACAAGUAUAUUUAAUUUCAAAAAGUGCCCCCCAAUUUCUUUUUAAAUGCCCUUGGAUUUCAGUCACUGGGGGCAAAAGUUUCCCCCUAAACAAGAUGUGCAUUUCCUACCCUGGGUCCACGUGUGUGUCCUUGUUUGCACUGAUGGUGCAUCUUGAGGUCAAAGGUCAGGGAUGUCUGUGUGUACAGAUUGUAAAGCCCUCUGAGGGGAAUUUGUAAUUUGUGAAAAUGGGUUAUACUAAAUAAACUGAAUUGAACUGAA